GACGAACGCUGGCGGCGUGCCUAAUACAUGCAAGUAGAACGCACAGUUUAUACCGUAGCUUGCUACACCAUAGACUGUGAGUUGCGAACGGGUGAGUAACGCGUAGGUAACCUGCCUGGUAGCGGGGGAUAACUAUUGGAAACGAUAGCUAAUACCGCAUAAUAUUAAUUAUUGCAUGAUAAUUAAUUGAAAGGUGCAAUUGCACCACUACCAGAUGGACCUGCGUUGUAUUAGCUAGUAGGUGAGGUAACGGCUCACCUAGGCGACGAUACAUAGCCGACCUGAGAGGGUGAUCGGCCACACUGGGACUGAGACACGGCCCAGACUCCUACGGGAGGCAGCAGUAGGGAAGCUUCGGCAAUGGACGAAAGUCUGACCGAGCAACGCCGCGUGAGUGAAGAAGGGUUUCGGAUCGUAAAGCUCUGUUGUAAGAGAAGAACGGGGGUGAGAGUGGAAAGUUCACACUGUGACGGUAUCUUACCAGAAAGGGACGGCUAACUACGUG
rnacentral:rRNA from 1 species